rnacentral:rRNA from 1 species
AUCGAUUCUUUGAACCCAAGUUGUGCCCGAAGCCCUCGUGGCCAGGGCACGUCUGUCUGGGCAUCAUGC